rnacentral:rRNA from 1 species
AUUUACAGCCAUACAUUCUAUCUGAUCUAGGAAGGCAAUCAGAUCUAGCCUGCUUAGUACUUGGAUGGGAGAUUGCCCGGGAAUACUGGGUGUUGCAGGCC